GAGAUCCAUUACUGCACGCAGCGGGGGAGAGGAUGCUUCGCAGAGCUGGAUCCUGCCACUUUACAGCUCGCUGGCUCGCUAGAUCUCACCAGCCUGGGACGGGACGUUGCUGAGCAGCAGGAGGACCCGCCCAGACUGCGGUUCUCUUUUCGGCUCAGGACUGUGCCCUUGCCUGUGUCCUAACCAAUAACUCCUGCCACACCCGUAGAGCGAUUGACUGCAUCCUAGUCUUCUGGCGUUUGUCAAUGUCUAGUCUUCCUGCCCAUGAUUAUGAAACUAGUCCAGAAGGCAAAAGUACAAGAUUCCAGAUGAACAGAGAGACCCAUUCCUUUCUGUGAAUCCUCUGGACCUUCCCACCCUGUUACUGGGGACAACCUUCGCCUCUCAGGAGAGUCAAGACACCAUGGUGACCAGUCUCUUAUUUCAGUCAUCGGUGGUUAAACUUCAUUUCAUGAAGUUUGAAAAACUGCAGUUUGGGGAGCAAGAC